rnacentral:rRNA from 1 species
GACGAACGCUGGCGGCGUGCUUAACACAUGCAAGUCGAACGGUGAAGCGCCUUCCUUUUUGGUGGGUGUGGAUGAGUGGCGAACGGGUGAGUAACACGUGAGUAACCUGCCCCCUUCUUCUGGAUAACCGCAUGAAAGUGUGGCUAAUACGGGAUAUUCUGGGUCUGUCGCAUGAUGGGUCUGGGAAAGAUAUUGUUUCGGUGGGGGAUGGGCUCGCGGCCUAUCAGCUUGUUGGUGGGGUGAUGGCUUACCAAGGCGGUGACGGGUAGCCGGCCUGAGAGGGUGGACGGUCACACUGGGACUGAGACACGGCCCAGACUCCUACGGGAGGCAGCAGUGGGGAAUAUUGCACGAUGGGCGCAAGACUGAUGCAGCGACGCCGCGUGAGGGAUGGAGGCCUUCGGGUUGUGAACCUCUUUCGCCAGUGAAGCAGGCCUGCCUCGUUUGUGGGUGGGUUGACGGUAGCUGGAUAAGAAGCGCCGGCUAACUACGUG